CAGACUAUGUUACAAAAAUAGUGUGCAAAUUACGAAAUGAUGACAUAGGAACAUAUUGCAAUGAAGAUGUAUUAAUUCAAAGGUUUGGUUCUAUGUUGUUUGACAAAUAUGGAACUACACAAUGUGAACUAAUAAGGCAAUCUACGAGACAACUGGCACGCUUAACUUUAAAGUUACGUGAAAUUGACAAUUCAAAAAGGCAAUUGACAGAUUUUCUUGUACCUCGAAUGUUUGACCUAAUAAUUCAAGCAACAAAAUUUUUAUGUGUAACACAUCAAAAUGUCGCACUAAGGCCUGAAUUUGAGUUACCGCCACUAGCAUUGAAAAAAUGUGCUUACGAGGUGGUAAUGAAAUAUUGUUAUGCUUUUUAAGUCUAAUGGACUUGGAAUGGAGUACCAGAGUCUCAUCAAGUGCGCUUGCUACUAUGUAUAAUAGAAAAAUGAAUGCUGCUGAAUUGUUGCCAUUAACAUGACCAAAGAACAAAUUUCUCUAUCAAAUUGUGCAACAAUUAAGACGUGGAGUCGACUGGCUUCCCUAACUCUUAGUAAGAUAAUUCUUUUUAAUAAAAGAAGAUCAGGGGAAGCCGCACGAAUGACAAUUGUUGCCUAUUGUUCAAGACCUAAUUGGUCCAGUCAGUCUACAGAGGAGCUAAAAAAAUAUCUUACCGACUUUGUCAAGUAUUCAAUUUAUCGGAGACUGAUUAUGAUUGGAUUGCGCGACAUCUUGGACAUGAUAUCAGGGUGCACCGUGAAUUUUACAGGCUGCUUGAAAGUGCAGUCGAGUUAACAAAAGUUAGCCGCAUAUUGUUAGCAGUUGAAAAAGGGCAAGUAAACAAAUUCGCUGGAAAGUCAUUGGAUGAAAUUAAUUUAGACGAUAUUCCAACUGAAACGUUACAAAGCGAUGAAGAAGAUGAAGACGCAAUACCAACCCAGGCAAGCGUAGGAGAAAAUGAGGACCUGAAUUAAAGCGAAUAUCCAGGUACGAUUAAGGAGGCAAAGAUCGUUUCAGAGUUUGUUAAAUCGCCUGUCGUCCAGGUUGCACAGAAAGAGGCAGUAGCUAAGUCAAAAAGCAGUGCCCGACGCCCUUGGUCUUCCGACGAAAAGCAGUUCGUUUUAAAAUUCUUCAUAAGUUCAAUCAAACGAGGCACUGUUCCUGGAAAAUCGGAUUGUACGAAAUGUAUAGAAGAAAGUAAUGGCAUAUUGGCUCUCAGGUCCUGGACUGACGUAAAAUUUUGUGUCAAAAAUCACUUGGAUAAAUUGAAAAAACAAAAUUCAAAGAUGUUCUAAUACUUAUAUUAUGGUUUUUGAUUUAUGUUUCAUUUUUCUAACAUGUACUUUAUAUUGUAAAGUUGAUCCGUACUUUUUUAUUUUAAUCUUGUAGGUACAGGGUUAUUCAUUUCAUUUUGACUCGUACCUACAGCCUUGAUUAGAGUUAAUAAAAAAAGAACUUUAAAUACAAUAGUUGUAGGGUUUGUUAUGUUUUAGUGAUAUCAACACAAAACAUUUGUAUUUACAAAUUGUAAACAAAUUUCAGACUUGUAUUUUUUGUAAAGAACGCCCUGUGUAUUAUGAGCUAAAAUAAAAUCUGUCAUUUAUAUUUGAACGAUCAAUUCUAAACUCAUAUACUUUAAAAACUAAUGAAGCCAGUAUCAACUAGAUUUAUAUUUUUAAAAUUACGAUAAGGACAGCUUUUAUUUUAGGUAAUGAUAUACAGGAUUUAAAAAAAGGAAUAAAAUAAAAAAAUAAAAGACAAUUUUUUACAAUUUUUAAAAACAAAUAUUUUCUUUUGAUAUCUC